UUUUUAUUCCGAAGGUUCAAUCGGGAAAUUCCUCACUUUUCAAUAUUUAAAUAAAUUUUCCGUAAUCAAUUUAAAUUCAUAAUUUACAUCAAAUAACCAUUUGAUAGGCAGCCACAUUUCAUAUGAUAUCAAAAUAUAAUAACAUAAAAAGAAUCGAUAGAUUAUUUAUGUACGAAUUUACUCGAAGUGUCGAUCUCACUAUCCAUAGUACCAAUUGUCUAUUCAUAGUAUAAUAAGACACAACUCAAAUAUCAAAUCAGCUUUUAAGA
rnacentral:lncRNA from 1 species